rnacentral:ncRNA from 2 species
AAAAAGGCGCUUUUAAGCGCCUUUUUUACAUUUGAAUGGUUU